CAGACUCUUGUCUUGGCGUCCUUCGUGUCUCUUGUUCUCCGUUCUCUUCCAGGUGUAGAAAAGAGAGCAAAUCAGCUGCUGCACUUACUGGAAUAUCAUGGGAAACUUCUAAACUUAUAGGGACAGUGCUGCAUCUUUACAAAUUUCCUCAGCUUACUUUUGGGCCUUUUGAUCAUCUUCUGACCGACCGAAUCCAGUUUCCAUCUCUGUACCAGGUGGUCCCAAAGACACAUCUCUGAUGCAUGGCAUUGCUUCUUUGCUGCAUCAUUUCAACUGGACCUGGGUAGGACUUUUCAUCACAGAUGACUACAGCAUUGCUAAGUUUCUAUCAGACUUGAGAGAGGAAAUGGACAGAAAUAGCUUCUGCAUAGGUUUUGUACAAACAGUGUCCAUCUUUGGGGAAUCAUUAUAUUCUUACAGUUUCCCUAGUCUGUACAUAUUUUGGAAUCAUCAACAAAUGUAGAUGUAAUUUAUGGAGACACUGCUUUUCUUCCUUUCUUUUUUUUUAAAAGAUUUAUUUAUCAUAUACAAGUACACUGUCGCUGUCUUCAGACACACCAGAAGAGGGCAUCGGAUCCCAUUACAGAUGGUUGUGAGCCACCAUGUGGUUGCUGGGAAUUGAACUCAGGACCCCUGGAAGAGCAGUCUGUGC
ensembl:lncRNA